rnacentral:rRNA from 2 species
UACGAAGGUCCCGAGCGUUAUCCGGAUUUAUUGGGUUUAAAGGGUGCGUAGGCGGGUUAUUAAGUCAGUGGUGAAAGCCUACAGCUUAACUGUAGAAUUGCCAUUGAUACUGAUGAUCUUGAGUAUGAUUGAGGUGGGCGGAAUGUGUCAUGUAGCGGUGAAAUGCUUAGAUAUGACACAGAACACCGAUUGCGAAGGCAGCUCACUAAGCCAUAACUGACGCUGAUGCACGAAAGCGUGGGGAGCAAACAGG